rnacentral:rRNA from 1 species
UACGUAGGGUGCAAGCGUUAAUCGGAAUUCCUGGGCGUAAAGCGUGCGCAGGCGGUUAUGCAAGGCAGAGGUGAAAUCCCCGGGCUCAACCUGGGAACUGCCUUUGUGACUGCAUAGCUAGAGUACGGUAGAGGGGGAUGGAAUUCCGCGUGUAGCAGUGAAAUGCGUAGAUAUGCGGAGGAACACCGAUGGCGAAGGCAAUCCCCUGGACCUGUACUGACGCUCAUGCACGAAAGCGUGGGGAGCAAACAGG